AUUGAACGCUGGCGGCAGGCCUAACACAUGCAAGUCGAGCGGAGUGGCGGACGGGUGAGUAAUGCCUAGGAAGCUGCCUGGUAGCGGGGGGUAACGUCCGGAAACGGGCGCUAAUAACGCAUCCUAUCAGAUGAGCCUAGGUCGGAUUAGCUAUUUGGUGGGGUAAAGGCCUACCAAGGCGACGACCCCGAACUGGUUUGGGAGGAUGAUCAGUCACACUGGAACUGAGACACGGUCCAGACUCCUACGGGAGGCAGCAGUGGGGAAUAUUGGACAAUGGGCGAAAGCCUGAUCCAGCCAUGCCGCGUGUGUGAAGAAGGUCUUCGGAUUGUAAAGCACUUUAAGUUGGGAGGCGUUACCAACAGAAUAAGCACCGGCUAACUUCGUGCCAGCCGCCGCGGUAAUAC
rnacentral:rRNA from 1 species